CAUUUUACAACAUGCUCUCUCUGAAGUCCGCUGAGAGCUUCCUCUGUACAAUACAACUUGCUGUCCACAAUCCUUUAUCUGUAACCUGAACAUUUCCUUUCUAUUGAUCCCAGAUAAUGAGUUCUUCACAU